rnacentral:tRNA from 1 species
AAGGAUUUAAGUUAAGUAAAACUUAAAGCCUUCAAAGCUUUAUAUAAAGGAAUUCCUUUAAGCCUUA